rnacentral:snRNA from 1 species
GGUCUAUUUGUAGUGCAUAUACUAAAAUAGAAGUGGUACAUAUUAUUAGUAAGAUCCCUGUGUAAGAAUGACAUGCAAAUUUCUAGUGUUCCAUUUUUCU